rnacentral:rRNA from 1 species
UACCCAUGAGCAGGUUGAAGCGCGGGUAAGACUGCGUGGAGGACCGAACUCACUAGUGUUGAAAAACUAGGGGAUGACUUGUGGGGAGGAGUAAAAGUCUCAUCAAACCUGGAGAUAGCUCGUUCUCUCCGAAAUAACUUUAGGGUUAGCCUCGGUGGUUCCAUGUUGGGGGUAGAGAGACUGAACUCGAACGAGGGUCUUCCCGACUACUCGUCGUAACCAAACUCCGAAUACCAGCAUGAAGAAACCGGGAGAUAGUCCGCGAGGGAGAAGCUUCGCGGUCAAGAGGGAAACAACCCAGAUCGCCUGCUAAGGUCCCAGAGCCCCGCUAAGUCCAAAAGGAUGUUUGAGUACUGUGACAGCCGGGAUGUUGGCUUAGAAGCAGCCAUCAUUUAAAAAGUGCGUAAUAGCUUACCGGUCGAGUAUUCAAGCACCGAUAAUGAUCGGGAGUAAGCGGGGCGCCGAAGCAGCGGGUUUCAUCGCAAGAUGAAGCGGUAGGAGAGCGUUCCAGACCAGCGAGUGGUACCGUAAGGAGCCAUGGAGGGGUCUGGAAGUGAUAAUGCCGGGAUGAGUAACGAUAAGACAGGUGAGAAUCCUGUCCGCCGAAAACCUAAGGUUUCCUGGGGAAGGUAAUUCCGCCCAGGGUUAGCCGGUACCUUAGUCGAGGCCGAAAGGCGUAGACGAUGGAUAGCAGGUCAACAUUCCUGCGCCACUAUAGUGGACCGAUGGAGGGACGGCGUCUGAAUGGUGGGCCGUACGAGUAGAAACGUCGGUAGACCAAUCUGCGGUGUGGGAUAGGCAAAUCCGCCCACACAAGCCAAGGGUUGGGCUCGAGCGCAUUUACGUUCGUGAAGUCAUCUGAAGGGCGUCCAAGAAAAGCUCCUAAGGGUUGAAGCUAUAGUGACCGUACUAAAACUGACACAGGUAGGCGAGACGAGUAGUCUAAGGCGCUCGGGAGAACACUGGUUAAGGAACUCUGCAACAUGACCCCGUAACUUCGGGAUAAGGGGUGCCUUCGAGGGUUAACGCUCUUGGAGGCCACAGUAAAUCGAGAGCUGCGACUGUUUAUCAAAAACACAGGACUCUGCCAACUCGCAAGAGGAUGUAUAGAGUCUGACGCCUGCCCGGUGCCGGUAGGUUAAGGAAGAGGGUUAGCCGUAAGGCGAAGCUCGCGACCGAAGCCCCGGUAAACGGCGGCCGUAACUAUGACGGUCCUAAGGUAGCGAAAUUCCUUGUCGGGUAAGUUCCGACCUGCAUGAAUGGCGUAACGACAGCUCUACUGUCUCAACCAGUGACCCGGUGAAAUUGUAGCCGUGGUGAAGAUGCCACGUUCCCGCAGCUAGACGGAAAGACCCCAUGAACCUUUACUGUAGGCUGGUAUUGGGCUGUGAUAUGUUCUGUGUAGGAUAGGUGGGAGGCGUUGAAGCCGGUACGCCAGUAUCGGUGGAGCCAACCUUGAAAUACCACCCUGGGCAUAUUUUAGUUCUAACGCUGUCCCGUGAAUCCGGGCAGCGGACAUUUCCAGUUGGGCAGUUUGACUGGGGCGGUCUCCUCCAAAAAGGUAACGGAGGAGUUCAAAGGUACCCUCAGCCUGGUUGGCAAUCAGGCGUCGAGCGUAAAGGUAGAGAGGGUGCUUGACUGCGAGACAGAUGUGUCGAGCAGAUGCGAAAGCAGGACUUAGUGAUCCGGUGGUCCCGCAUGGAAGGGCCAUCGCUCAUCAGACAAAAGGUACUCUGGGGAUAACAGGCUUAUCGCUCCCGAGCGUCCACAGCGGCGGAGCGGUUUGGCACCUCGAUGUCGGCUCAUCACAUCCUGGGGGUGGAGAAGCUCCCAAGGGUUUGGCUGUUCGCCAAUUAAAGUGGUACGUGAGCUGGGUUCAGACCGUCGUGAGACAGGUCGGUCCCUAUCUGCUAUGGGCGCACGAAACUUGCGGAGGUUCUUCUUUAGUACGAGAGGAUUUAGAAGGACGUUCCUCUGGUGUGCCAGUUGUCGCGCUAGCGGCACGGCUGGAUAGCUAUGAACGGAAAGGAUAAACGCUGAAAGCAUAUAAGCGUGAAGCCCUCUCCAAGAUCAGGUUUCGUUGGGGUAUUACCCCGAAAGCCCCCUGGAAGACGACCAGGUUGAUAGGUCGGAUGUGUAA